rnacentral:lncRNA from 1 species
GAAUUGCCUCCCUCUUUCCCCUAUCAGCAAUCCUGAGGGCGUCUGCUCAGGGUUUCUCAAAGUAUGAGCCUUCAGGAAUCACCUUGGGGCAAUUAUUAAAAAUGCAGGUUCCUGGGCCCUGCCCCACUGAGUUAACUCAUGGAAUUUGCAUUUCGACAAGACCCUGCAGUGACUCAUAUGCACUCUUAGCACUCUUAUCCUUCCAGCUGCAACAGAUCUCUCUGGACUGGACUGGGGCUAGGACAUCUGUUUUUUUAAAUAGUUUUCCAGACAAUUUUGAAAAUUUAGGUUUGGGAGUCAAUGAAAUAGGUACUCUCUGAAGUGACAGUGUCUGAAUCAGCAGUUCUUAAAGUAUGGUACUGGGGCCAGCAGCACCAGCAGCAUCUGGAAACUUUCAGAAAUGUAAAUUCUUGGCCCUCCCACCCCCAGCCCUGAAUAAUCAUCUCAGGGGCAUGGCCCUGCGAUCUGUGUUUUCACAAGUCCUGCAGGUGAUUCUGAUGCUGCUGAAGUUUGAAAAUCACCGGUUUAAACAACCUCCUGAAUAUCAUUCCCCAGCAAUUCAAUAACUGUGUUGACACUCCCUGAAUGUUCUGUCCUUCUAGGAAUUUUGGACCGCCUGGAGAAAUCAAAGACUUGCUAAAUAGCACUUUAUUCGCACUCUGAUUUUGGCACUGAAUUGAUCAGGAGAAUGUCAAGUUUCAGCAGUGUUCUGGGCCGUGGCUGAACCAACUCUACUUGGUCAAGAUUGUUUCUGGCAUUCUGGUGAAAUGUCUCUGGGAACUGGUUGUCUUGUAACUGACAUAACUGAGAAGGGAUAUGUGUUUAAUUAUCCUGUCACUGAAUAUGGGAUUCAGAAAGAGCUUUUCAUGUUUGGAGACCACUCCAAGCACCACCAAAACAAUCUUGCAAAGUUCAGGAAUGAUUCUCCCUCUGCCAUUUCUUAUUUUGCCUGGAACAUAACCAACACUUGCCUGCUUGGAUUGCUUCAUAUUCCACAUUUCCAAGACUCCUUGCUAUUCAAGUACAAUGCAGUCAUCAUUGGUUCUGUGCCAGGAUUAAACCCACGAUAUUUCACAAUAAUUAUGUGGAUGCCCACGAAGUGUAUUUAG